CCCUUAGACGUUCUGGGCCGCACGCGCGCUACACUGACCAGUGCAACAAGCAUCCGUCCUUGGCCGACAGGCCGGGGCAAUCUUUGAACGCUGGUCGUGAUGGGGAUAGACUUUUGCAAUUUUUGGUCUUCAACGAGGAAUUCCUAGUAAACGCAAGUCAUCAACUUGCAUUGAUUACGUCCCUGCCCUUUGUACACACCGCCCGUCGCACCUACCGAUUGAAUGGUCCGGUGAAGCCUCCGGAUUGGCGCGCACCUCGGUGCCGCCGAGAAGUUGGCUAAACCUUACCAUUUAGAGGAAGGUGAAGUCGUAACA
rnacentral:rRNA from 1 species